CUGUAAACAAUCAUUGCUGUGCUCCUUUUGAUCAUCUCCUCUUCUUCGUGCCUUAUCCUCGGUGCCUCUUAAACUUGAACAUUUUAGGGGCCAUUACUGAAUAAAGUGGUUAUCUAAAAAUGCUUCCUCAACAAGUUGAGAACACCAUCCAAAGGAAGAAAAUGAAGGAAAAAAUAUUUAUCCUCAACCAUGGAGAUGGGGAUGUCGAGAUGCUUCAGUUGUUUGAAGGAAGAAAAUGAAGAAAAUGUUGGUCACCGGAGUGGAGGGGAGACGA
rnacentral:lncRNA from 1 species